GUGGGAUUCUGAUCAUGGCUCAAACCAUUAUAAUUUGUAAACGGACAAAUGAUAAACACCACAGUGACAGACUUCAUCAAGGUGCUGUGACAGAAAGGGCAACUGAUCAGAGUCAUGAUGUGGAGAUGAAUUACGCUGCUUUACAUUUCAAUAAGAAGAAAACCAAAAGCAGGAGGAAGAAGAACAACAAACCACCU